CGUGGAAGUCCACCCCCAUGAGGGAAGCCAUCCUGGGUAGGAGUCCGGGGAUCUGCUCCAGCUGCUGCCUAGAGCUCUCCACACGGUUGUCAACAAUCUGCUCGUCCAGCCACCAGUGCCGCUUCCUCAGGAGGCGGAGCCGGCGGAGCAUCCAGUCCUUAGUGGUUUCCGUGGCGAUGGGCUUGCAGCAGCAGGUGUGUGUGGCUUCUGAUAGGCUGGGGCCGGCAGUCGGACACUCCAGCUUCAGCAGAUCUGACAUCAUAAACAAUACAUUCAUCAUCUUUGUAACACAGCAUAACAAUAUUACCCCAUAAAUAAGUGCAGGUUAACUCCAUA